GGUGUUGUGGCUAAGUGGUAAAGCAUUUGCAUAGCAUGCAUGAGGCUCUGGGUUCUAUCCCCAGCACCACAU
rnacentral:tRNA from 1 species